rnacentral:rRNA from 1 species
AUGCAGACCUUACUACGCAUGCUGAAUACUUCAUCAACAACCUCAAAGAGACAUGGAACUGUCACUAUGAAAACUCAAAGGUCCAGAUCAGACAUUUUCCAAUUGAGUACGUGGCGACUACGAAGCAAGGAAACCGGCACGACUGCGGCUUCCACAUGUUGGAAUACCUUGCAAAGUGGGAAGGUCGACGGGUUCCUGUCGUCACAGCUGCAAUGGUCGUCGAGAUCCGCAAAAUUUACACAUGGAACUGGUUGA